AAUGAACGCUGGCGGCAUGCCUAACACAUGCAAGUCGAACGAAGGCUUCGGCCUUAGUGGCGCACGGGUGCGUAACGCGUGGGAAUCUGCCCUCAGGUUCGGAAUAACAGCGAGAAAUUGCUGCUAAUACCGGAUGAUAUCGCGAGAUCAAAGAUUUAUCGCCGGAGGAUGAGCCCGCGUAGGAUUAGCUAGUUGGUGUGGUAAAGGCGCACCAAGGCGACGAUCCUUAGCUGGUCUGAGAGGAUGAUCAGCCACACUGGGACUGAGACACGGCCCAGACUCCUACGGGAGGCAGCAGUGGGGAAUAUUGGACAAUGGGCGAAAGCCUGAUCCAGCAAUGCCGCGUGAGUGAUGAAGGCCUUAGGGUUGUAAAGCUCUUUUACCCGGGGUGAUAAUGACAGUACCGGGAGAAUAAGCUCCGGCUAACUCCGUGCCAGCAGCCGCCGUAA
rnacentral:rRNA from 1 species